GUUUGGACCGUGCACCGCGCGCGGCGGUUUCGACGACGUGGAACGGUAAAGGAUUUUCGACCGUCGCCGACGACGCCUAGAGUCCUUGUCGAAGAAAAAAAAAUAAAUAUAAAUUACAUUAAACGUAUUUAUGUAUUAUCUAUAAUUUCGGAGGGGAAAAAAACGAGGUUUUUUUUUUUUUUUAUGCUGCCCCGCACGCGUCUGCCAUCACUCUGAGACAAUCAUCGUCCGAUCGGGUUUACGGGGUUCGACAAAAAUACAAUACAUUUCAACGCGCCGGACAUAUUGUCUGCACAAAACGAAAACGCAUUUGAUUUCAGUUCUUCCGAUGUCGCAUCGUCCGAGACGCUAUAAUCGCGAAUUGUUUCAAACGUUUACGUUUCUCGACCGUCAUUAUACAUCCCGUGGAUAAUGUACUGAAUGUUAUAAAAUACGCGAAAGUUUUGUUUGGAUGAUGCACGUGUGUUAUCCGCGCAUCUCGCCCAGACAAUACUGAACGGAUUGAGCUGAAACACUGCAUAAAUACGUAGUUCCAGACCGGGAACAACAUUGUUGCAUUUUUUUUCCCACUCCGUAUUCGAGUCCUAACGGUGGGGCGGCACAUGUGAUACGGAUACUUCGGUGAUACGGAUAAAAAAAAAAAAACAGUUAUAGUGUUAAUUAUAGUUAAUAAUUCGAUUGUCGCGAGCAAGGACGUAUACGCAUACAACAACGGUUAACAAUAACUGUAACAGAAACGAGGGCG